GCGCCGUUGGUGUAAUGGUUAGCAUCUACGCUUCCCAUUCUUCAAUGGAUUACUGCGUAGGAUUCGAGUUCGAUUCUUGAACGGCGCA